UCUCACUCUAGGCGAGACUGCCGUUGACAAAACGGAGGAAGGUGGGGACGACGUCAAAUCAUCAUGCCCCUUAUGUCCUGGGCUACACACGUAAUACAAUGGCGGUCAACAGAGGGAUGCAAAGCCGUGAGGCGGAGCGAACCCCUAAAAGCCGUCCCAGUUCAGAUUGUGGGCUGCAACCCGCCCACAUGAAGUCGGAAUCGCUAGUAAUCGCGGAUCAGCAUGCCGCGGUGAAUACGUUCCCGGGCCUUGUACACACCGCCCGUCACACCAUGAGAGUCGGGAACACCCGAAGUCCGUAGCCUAACCGAAAGGGGGGCGCGGCCGAAGGUGUCUAUGAUAAUUGGGGUGAAGUCGUAAAGGGNUAAACCGUAAU
rnacentral:rRNA from 1 species